rnacentral:rRNA from 1 species
UACGUAGGGUCCGAGCGUUGUCCGGAAUUACUGGGCGUAAAGGGCUCGUAGGCGGCCAACUAAGUCAGACGUGAAAUCCCUCGGCUUAACCGGGGAACUGCGUCUGAUACUGGAUGGCUUGAGUGUGGGAGAGGGAUGCGGAAUUCCAGGUGUAGCGGUGAAAUGCGUAGAUAUCUGGAGGAAUACCGGUGGCGAAGGCGGCAUCCUGGACCGGCAUUGACGCUGAGGAGCGAAAGCUAGGGGAGCAAACGGGG